rnacentral:rRNA from 1 species
GUCUACGGCCAUACUGCCCUGAACCUCCCGAUCUUGUCUGAUCUCAGAAGCUAAGCAGGGUCAGGCCUGGUCAUUACUUAGAAGAUGCACUGGGAACCGUGGUGCCGAGUCC